rnacentral:misc_RNA from 1 species
GAUGAAGAACGCAGCGAAAUGCGAUAAGUAAUGUGAAUUGCAGAAUUCAGUGAAUCAUCGAAUCUUUGAACGCACCUUGCGCCCUUUGGACAUUCCGAAGGGCAUGCCUGUUUGAGUAUCAUGAACACCUCAACUCUCACGGCUUGUCCGUGAUGAGCUUGGACUUUGGGGGUCUUGCCGGCCUGUGGUCGGCUCCUCUCAAAUGGAUCAGCUUGCCAGUGUUUGGUGGCAUCACAGGUGUGAUAACUAUCUUCGCUUGUGGUUUUCCAUCAGAUAACCUUCAGUGAUAUGGAGGUUCGCUGGAGCUCACAAAUGUCUCUCCUUAGUGAGGACAGCUCUUUGAACGUUUGAUCUCAAAUCAGGUAGGACUACCCGCUGAACUUAAGCAUAUCAAUAAGCGGAGGA